AAAACAAAGAUAGGAACGGCGUUGUUGUUUGGGAUAAAAACAAAAGAUGAAUGGAAAUUAAAUACCCACAACAAUAAACAGUUUUGUGACGAGUACCUUCGCACUGUCAUUACAAUAAAACGCAAUAAUUUUUUUAACUUUUCAUAAAUGAAAACUUGAGAUAAAUUAUUAAUUGAAAAUUAACGAAACCUUUUAAUUUUCGCACGCUUAAAAAACAUCAAUGUCACAAAGUGGACAUUUUUUUCUUCACUUAAUACGAGCUUUGCAACGGAAAACCCCUCGUUUACAGAAAUACUUAGGAAUAAAAAUUCCAAUGAAAAUGUCAACGCGAAUUUUAAUUAUUUAAUCUUUUAAUCAGUGUUGAUGCUUAACAGAUUGUAGGUAAAGUGAUAUGUAAGAAAUAUCAUGCAAUACACAGCACAAUGGCGAAGGCAAAAUAUAUGAAUUUGGUCAAGUAUCAACGUUGCUGUCCCAUGCGCAACAGAAAAAUAAAAAUAAAGAUGUUUGUAUUGGUUCAUACAGUUUUGGUGAUCACAAAGCAAGGUGUUUUUUAAAAAUAUACCUUAUGUUUUUGACGACGAGUAAAUAUUGUCAUUUUUUUGCAUGGGAUGUCACAGCAUGUGUAAAUGGAGAGGAUGUUGUUCGUUUGCAUGGAUUUAGGAACGAAAUUAACCAUAAAAAUAAUCCUCUAGUCAACGAGUUUCAAAUCUUUUUUAAAUACGUGUUAUAUAUACUAAGCCACUUCAAUUCAAAAAAAUCAAAGAACAUCAAGGAAAGAGCCGGGGUUAAGUGAUAACUCUGUUCUCUAUACAUAAAAAAAUUGUAAACGAAUGGUUAUAUCGUCAUUGAGGACUAGCUUAAAAUGUGUAAUGCAACUGGAUUAUCUCAGUCUAAAAGCUAUAAUUAAUAAGACAUUCGUCUGGUGUUUGGUAAAACUAUGGUUACAAUCACAACGGACGCGUAGAGAUAGUCGUAAGUAUGGCGGGCUCACUCUCAUUAAUUGUAAACUUGGCAUUCGCAGUAUGAGAUGAAAGAUAUAAAAAUUACUGUAUAAAUGAUUGCAUUGUACUUCAAAUGAUAUCUUUGCUGCCUGAAGACUUCAGACAAUGUAAGAACUUUACGAUAGAAUAAAGAAAUUUUCCAAUGAAAUGUUCCUUUCAUUGAUAUGUUUAUCAAGAAGAGACAAUGAAAUGAACGAAAAACAAACAAAGCCAAGUUUCAGAUAUAGAAUUUAAAGGAACAGAACAACUAGACAACAUGACGCACCGGAAGCGUGAAAGCGUCCUCGGAAACAAACAUAUUCGUGUCGACAUCACUCAUAGCGAACUGUUAAAAAAAGUCCAAUAAUUAUAAAGCUUGUUUUUUGAUGUGGCUUUUAUUGUUUUCUUUUGGUGGUGUUCGUGUGUCGAGGUAUUUUGUACUUUAGCCAUUAGUUCUUACCAUAAAAUGCUACGAUUCCAUGAAAAAUUUUAAUCAAUAAAAAACUUACUCCUUCCAAAGGCCUAUCUUCAUCGUAAACCGGAUUACCAAUUCCUUCUGAAACAUUGACAGCACCAUCUUCAGAUGAAAUUCUAAAAUAGACGAAAGAAAAUUUCAAAUCAAUCAUUCUAUACGUUUGGUAAUGUCCCAGUGAAAAUAAAAGACACAUUUUACUACUUACUUUGACGUCUCUCCGUUCUUAUUCCUAUUGGGAUCAUAAAACACGGAGAAUAAUGUAAGUUUUUUUCUUAAAGAAAAAUGUACGAAUUUCAAGAUUCGUGGUAUUUUAAUCAUAAAGUGAGGAUGUAAUUUGAUUUCGUAUAUAGCAAUAUUCUAAUGCAAUAUCUUCAUCAGAAA